rnacentral:rRNA from 1 species
GUGGGGAAUAUUGGACAAUGGGCGAAAGCCUGAUCCAGCCAUGCCGCGUGUGUGAUGAAGGUCUUCGGAUUGUAAAGCACUUUAAGUUGGGAGGAAGGGUUGUACGUUAAUACCGUGCAAUUUUGACGUUACCGACAGAAUAAGCACCGGCUAACUUCGUGCCAGCAGCCGCGGUAAUACGAAGGGUGCAAGCGUUAAUCGGAAUUACUGGGCGUAAAGCGCGCGUAGGUGGUUCAGCAAGUUGAAGGUGAAAUCCCCGGGCUCAACCUGGGAACUGCCUCCAAAACUACUGAGCUAGAGUACGGUAGAGGGUAGUGGAAUUUCCUGUGUAGCGGUGAAAUGCGUAGAUAUAGGAAGGAACACCAGUGGCGAAGGCGACUACCUGGACUGAUACUGACACUGAGGUGCGAAAGCGUGGGGAGCAAACAGGAUUAGAUACCCCAGUAGUCC